rnacentral:lncRNA from 1 species
UUUGGGUAAUAUCAUACUUGUUUAAAGUUGUGUUACAAUUAAUAAUGUUAAAAGGGAAAUGGCUUGUGGUUUAUCUUCUCCAUGUCAUCAGAGAAACAUGGCAUGACUGAAACAUUUAAGAUCCUAUAUGCACUGUGUUAAAAUGGAUUCUUUCAUAUAUCUAUGUAUGUAUUGGGGCCUGUGGAUUAAUGUAAGGUAUGCAUAUUGUUGUUUGCUCUUGUUUACUAUUUAGGGGGGAGUAGGAACUCAGGGCAGAUGGCACUAAUUCUUCCUUAACCAAGUUCCUGCAGGGACUCCAGAAAGAAAACACAGAGGCCACUACUGAUCAUACUUCUCUUGUGUUUGUUUGGUCCAUGUUUACUAAAUAUUCUUGCCAGAUUCCUUUCUUCUAGGGUCGGAGCCAUCAACUUCCAGAUGACUGUAUACCAACCCAAGGUCUCUAGUCCACUGAACCUGGCAUCAGCCAGGUUUUGAAGUUUGACCCCUCGAAUGGGACCCAGAGAGGCAGGGACAGCUCUACGCCCCUUGCCAGCAGGAAGCAGUUUCAGAAGCAGAGACCUCCGCCCCUUUUCACCAAAAGAAUUUGGUUCCUAUUUGUUUGAGGGGGGGAUGAUGGGGGCGGGGCCCAAACCAAGAUCUUCGCUCUUUGCCUCAAAGGGAAUCUGACUCACAGGCCCCAGACCCUCAUCUCCCUUUGAAAGCCUUAGCCUUACCUUUUAAUCUUAUUCAGAUCUGGCUCCCUUUUGUCUAUAGGCCCCAGAAAGGCCUUCCUUUAUCUCCUUUUGAAAGUCCUAGCCCCACCUUGAUUUUGUGCAGAUGCCUUUCAAACUUCUGCCUUCCUGUUCCCUCCAUUAUCUAUUCCCACUGUCUAUUCAAUCUCCCUUGACCCCCCCUGCAUUUCCCUAUUUUCCACUACCCCUCCCUGUUUCACAUGCCCCCACCUACUUGCCCAUCCCCCCUUUUCCUUGGUUCUCCUUCCCUUUUCCUCUGGCUCCUAGUAGGACCCCUCAGGCAGAUCCUCCUCACCCCUCGAUUAUGAGACUGCUCCGAGCCAUCCAUAGCGUUUUCCCAUAGCCCAGACUCGGAAAAUUGUCGGUGGGAACAACCUAAGUUGACCGUGGGGGAUGUCCAAGGAAAAGGUACCUGUCUUACCUCAUCCACCACAUCCCUGAAAACUUCUCCUUACUCUCCUGUCUGUAAUAGUACUGUGGUUGUUCCCCAAUCCUCCUCCUCUUUUUAUUCAGGGCCAUCCGGCACUUGGUGGGCCUGUCUGGAUGGGAUCACACAGUGUGUCUCCGCUGCAGUGUUCCUAAAAGAAUCUGAGCCUCUAUGUAUAUUAGUCUCCAUUAUCCCCAGGGUCUCCCUUCUUCAGGGCCCGGA